rnacentral:lncRNA from 1 species
CCCCCCGAGCAAGGUAGUACGUGUGGUCCAUGCACUAUCAGAUGGACUGAUUCACUAUCAGAAUCUAGUCAUUGUGCUCACAGCGACACUAAUGACUCCGCGUGGUCCAUGCACUAUCAGAUGGACUGAUUCACUAUCAGAAUCUAAUUCCAGGCCAAUGGAAUUAUAUGUUUAUAGUCCUACCCUGAUCAAGAGCGACUUUUGCUGUGUGGAUUCUGGCCGAAGCAACAGAAUGCGUGGAUUCACUAUUAGAAUCUGAUUCUGGCCGAAGCAACAGAAUGCGUGGAUUCGUUAUCCGAAUCGGGUUCUGGCCGAAGCAACAGAUCGCGUGGAUUCACUAUCGGAAUCUGAUUCUAGCCGAAGCAACAUAAUCUAGUUCACUAUCAGAACUGAUGUUUAUAGUCUACCCUGAUCAAGGGCGACUUGGUGUCCGCAACGACGGUUACCCCAUAGGCCGAAGCGCAAGAUGGGUCGAGAUCAUUAAGGUCAAAGCGACAAAAUGAUCUCCAAAUGUUUGAAGAACUAUUGAAGCCAAAGCGACAACAUAAUUCUUGGUUUGAUUCUGGCCGAAGCAACAGAAUGCGUGGAUUCGUUAUCCGAAUCGGGUUCUGGCCGAAGCGACAGAAUCAUGCCUG